rnacentral:rRNA from 1 species
GGCCCAGACUCCUACGGGAGGCAGCAGUGGGGAAUAUUGCACAAUGGGGGAAACCCUGAUGCAGCGACGCCGCGUGAGUGAAGAAGUAUCUCGGUAUGUAAAGCUCUAUCAGCAGGGAAGAAAAUGACGGUACCUGACUAAGAAGCCCCGGCUAACUACGUGCCAGCAGCCGCGGUAAUACGUAGGGGGCAAGCGUUAUCCGGAUUUACUGGGUGUAAAGGGAGCGUAGACGGCGAUGCAAGUCUGAAGUGAAAGGCGGGGGCCCAACCCCCGGACUGCUUUGGAAACUGUAUAGCUGGAGUGCAGGAGAGGUAAGUGGAAUUCCUAGUGUAGCGGUGAAAUGCGUAGAUAUUAGGAGGAACACCAGUGGCGAAGGCGGCUUACUGGACGGCAACUGACGUUGAGGCCCGAAAGCGUGGGGAGCGAACAGGAUUAGAUACCCCAGUAUA